GCCGAGGUAGCUCAGCUGGUUAGAGCGGAGGAUUCAUAACCCUCAGGUCGGCAGUUCAAGUCUGCCCCCCGGCA
rnacentral:tRNA from 2 species